UUAAGUGAUGUAAGUAAGUAAAGUAAUUCAAGAUAUCGUGUAAGGCUCUCGAUUGAUUUCCCGCCAAGUAUACGUGUCUGGAGCAGCGCCUGGGAAAUGCUGAGCCUGGGUUUGCUUGCUAUAGUGUUCCUUUAUUGUGCCGGGGGGAUAAUCCGGGACGUAAUUUUCCUUGAGUGUACUGUGCCGGGGGGAUAAUCCGACACGCAAUUUUCCUUGAGUUGUACUGUGCCGGGGGGAUAAUCCGACACGCAAUUUUCCUUGAGUGUACUGUGCCGGGGGGAUAAUCCGACACGCAAUUUUCCUUGAGUGUACUGUGCCGGGGGGAUAAUCCGACACGCAAUUUUCCUUGAGUCUACUGUGCCGGGGGGAUAAUCCGACACGCAAUUUUCCUUGAGUCUACUGUGCAUGGAGGGAGGAUCCUGCACGCAAUUUUCCUUGAGUCUACUGUGCAUGGAGGGAGGGUCCUGCACGCAAUUUUCCUUGAGUCUACAGUGCAUGGAGGGAGGAUCCUGCACGCAAUUUUCCUUGAGUCUACAGUGCAUGGAGGGAGGAUCCUGCACGCAAUUUUCCUUGAGUCUACAGUGCAUGGAGGGAGGGUCCUGCACGCAAUUUUCCUUGAGUCUACUGUGCAUGGAGGGAGGGUCCUGCACGCAAUUUUCCUUGAGUCUACUGUGCAUGGAGGGAGGGUCCUGCACGCAAUUUUCCUUGAGUCUACUGUGCAUGGAGGGAGGAUCCUGCACGCAAUUUUCCUUGAGUCUACUGUGCAUGGAGGGAGGGUCCUGCACGCAAUUUUCCUUGAGUCUACAGUGCAUGGAGGGAGGAUCCUGCACGCAAUUUUCCUUGAGUCUACUGUGCAUGGAGGGAGGAUCCUGCACGCAAUUUUCCUUGAGUCUACUGUGCAUGGAGGGAGGGUCCUGCACGCAAUUUUCCUUGAGUCUACUGUGCAUGGAGGGAGGAUCCUGCACGCAAUUUUCCUUGAGUCUACGGUGCAUGGAGGGAGGAUCCUGCACGCAAUUUUCCUCGAGUCUGUCACUGAAAGAUAAUGGCUGGCUGGCAGUGUGAAGAAUCAUGGGCAUAACGAAGGGAGAACUGCCGGCUGCUGAGAGAGGGAAGAAGCAGCCUUAGUAUCAGGCGACCCCCGGGUUUUCGGGCAGCAGUGGGUUGGCGGGCUCGUCCUGGGCCUCCACCACGCGUGCUUCCUUAUGGGUGAAGGCAAGCUGGUACUCCUCGUGGUGGUGCUGCCCUGGCCCCUCCUGCUGCUGCUGCCCUUACCAGAGGCCCCUCGCGCCCCAGCCCCGCACAGAAUCCGAGACAAAGCAGAUGACUUGUAAGAAGUUUUGUCUCGAUUAAAUUAAAAUAUGUGAAUCUUAUAGCGACCGGAGCAUCGAGUGGUUUGGGGAUGGAAGUGAAGGGCUUCUUGAACA